GAGUUAGAAACCCUGCCUCUGUAUUCCCAUAGCCUGCUACAGACCUCCACGACAUCACAUGAAAGGUACCAGCUAAACAGAUGUGGGGUGAUUAACCAUCCACUCCAAGGAACACAUGUGGGAAGGUAUCCGUCAGUGGAGCAGGUUUGCAAAUACACGACACACGAGACUCGCCACUGGCCUUAAUGAAGCCUGCAUCAUUCGGUGCUGAAAGCAAAAGGUUGCAAACGCAGCGUGUAAAUCCUUUCCUCUCAACCAUAAUGACGAGCUCCAUGAGGGCCAAGGCUCUCCAUUCUUGUUCACCACUGCACACUCAGGAGCUCAUGGCAUGCUGGCUGUGCUAGUUCUAUCCUCAACAGAAUAAUUGCUGACAAACUCUCUUGCCCAGAAAAUGUCUACUGGAAUUAUGGAGUACAAAAAAACUACAAAAGCAAUGAAAAAAAGAAGGAUGUUUUAUUUACAUCCUAUUUCAAAACCAUUGCUUUCUUGCUAUUGUAUGUCUCUGCAGGCCCAAUAUCGCGCAUCUUCAUAAGAAGUUUAGAAUUGUUCCUUAUGUUUCCUUCUAACAAACACUGGUAUAUUCACAUGAAAGUGUAUAUUUUAUUCACUUCCAAAACAGUUAGCUCAUAAUUCAGAACAUUGAGGUUUGCAAAAUGACUGAAGGAAACUUUACCUAAACAAUAGUUGCCAGUUCUGCUGAGAAUUAUCACGGGCCCACAACGGCUGUGUGUUUUUCCAUACAGAUAUUCUAAUUUUUUUAUUAUGC
ensembl:lncRNA CHRM3-AS2 CHRM3 antisense RNA 2